rnacentral:rRNA from 1 species
GACGAACGCUGGCGGCGUGCUUAACACAUGCAAGUCGAACGGAAAGGCCCUGCGUUUGUGGGGUGCUCGAGUGGCGAACGGGUGAGUAACACGCGAGUAACCUGCCCUUGACUUUGGGAUAACUUCAGGAAACUGGGGCUAAUACCGGAUAGGAGCUCCUGCUGCACGGGGGGGGUUGGAAAGUUUCGGCGGUUGGGGAUGGACUCGCGGCUUAUCAGCUUGUUGGUGGGGUAGUGGCUUACCAAGGCUUUGACGGGUAGCCGGCCUGAGAGGGUGACCGGCCACCUUGGGACUGAGGUACGGCCCAGACUCCUACGGGAGGCAGCAGUGGGGAAUAUUGCACAAUGGGCGGAAGCCUGAUGCAGCAACGCCGCGUGCGGGAUGACGGCCUUCGGGUUGUAAACCGCUUUCGCCUGUGACGAAGCGUGAGUGACGGUAAUGUGUAAAGAAGCACCGGCUAACUACGUG